rnacentral:sRNA from 1 species
AAGGGCGCAUGGUGAAUGCCUUGGUACUAGGAGCCGAUGAAGGACGGGACUAACGCCGAUAUGCUUCGGAGAGCGGUAAGUACGCUUUGAUCCGGAGAUUUCCGAAUGGGGCAACCCAAUCAGCUUAGUCGCUGAUUACUUGACUAGUGAAU